CUCAGUUCGGAUUGGAGUCUGCAACCCGACUCCAUGAAGCUGGAUUCGCCAGUAAUCGCGCAUCAGCCACGGCGCGGUGAAUACGUUCCCGGGCCUUGUACACACCGCCCGUCAAGCCAUGGAAGCCGGGAGUGCCUGAAGUACGCGACCGCAAGGAGCGUCCUAAGGUAAAACCGGUGACUGGGGCUAAGUCGUAACAAGGUACC
rnacentral:rRNA from 1 species